AAUAUCUGGCGGCUUCAGCUAAGGUAACGUAAAUGUAGGCUAUCGUUAACUUAGCAAUGUGAUGUGAAACUUAAUUAAAUGUUUAUUAAUUCAUUUAAUAGUGCUUUGAUAUGUGACUGGGUUUGUUUAGGCGCUACCGGUUAGCAGAUGGAAGGCUGACAAACUCCAAUCUGUCCGGCUGCUGCAGAUAAGAUCACCAUGGACCAGUUUCUCUCAGCCUUGAGAGAAAGGGGUGUUCCUGAGGAGAACCUGGCAAGAAUGGCAGAGGACAAGAUCGAUCAAGACAUUGUAAAGUUCCUUGGAGAAGACAAGCUCUCUGCUUUUAUUCCUCGAUAUGGAGACCGUGUCUUUGCCAGAAACUGGAAGGAGUUAUCCUCAAGUGAAAGGAUAGAAGAUACAGAGCAAAGGAAACAAACUUUAAUAAAU